rnacentral:tRNA from 1 species
UUCCCUGUGGUCCAGUGGUUAGGACUUGGUGCUUUCACUGCCAUGGCCCAGGUUCAAUCCCUGGUCGGGGAA